rnacentral:rRNA from 1 species
UGGGGAAUAUUGGACAAUGGGCGAAAGCCUGAUCCAGCCAUGCCGCGUGUGUGAAGAAGGUCUUCGGUUUGUAAAGCACUUUAAGUUGGGAGGAAGGGCAGUAAGCGAAUACCUUGCUGUUUUGACGUUACCGACAGAAUAAGCACCGGCUAACUCUGUGCCAGCAGCCGCGGUAAUACAGAGGGUGCAAGCGUUAAUCGGAAUUACUGGGCGUAAAGCGCGCGUAGGUGGUUCGUUAAGUUGAAUGUGAAAGCCCCGGGCUCAACCUGGGAACUGCAUCCAAAACUGGCGAGCUAGAGUAGGGCAGAGGGUGGUGGAAUUUCCUGUGUAGCGGUGAAAUGCGUAGAUAUAGGAAGGAACACCAGUGGCGAAGGCGACCACCUGGGCUCAUACUGACACUGAGGUGCGAAAGCGUGGGGAGCAAACAGG